ACAAAAUAUUGUUUCAUGUAACAAAAUAUUUGUGAUUAUUGAGGACAAGACUAUUGUUAAUUUCGACGAUUCUCAACGAAGUAAAAAGUGACGGUGUUACUGUUAGGACGUGGUGGAAUGGCGAAUGGCCUCUCUGUCUCUACAAAAUGCCACAAUAGUCCUAAGACGGUAACACAACGUGGCGAGAUCAUGCCGACACUAAACUACGCAUGCAACUUUCAAUCUCUCGAGCCAAAUGCUUCCGAGUCCGAGCGUGUGUACGAGUUUUCGAAAAGUCGAACGACCUGAAACGAGUUUAGUUGCGAAAUACACGAUUGUAACCUAUAUUAGAAGAACAGCUGCGGAUAACUGAAAAUAAUAUUUAGAAACUUAUUAUUUUUUUCUUAAUAGCUAUUUAAUAAUCAUUAAGAUUUCAUAUUCGGUUGUUUUGUGAUAGUUUACUUCUUAUUAUCUUUCAAUAGUUAAAUUUUUAUUGCUUUGAAAGAAAUUCAUUUACACCAGUAUCCGUAACAGUUUUGUUUUGUGCCAAAUGUAAUAGGAGUAAUAUUUGACCGCCGAAGUUACAAGAAUGAAAGAUAUUUCUACUGAUGUAUCACGACUUCAGAUCGAAAGCUACACGCAUAAACUACCGAGUUUGAAAAUAACGGGAAAGAAACAGAAUAAACUCGAUGAAAGAAUAAUGAAAGUUCCAGAAUAGAUAAAAUCGUAAUAAUUACUGCAAAUAGGUUGAAAGAAAUGGUAUUUGUUUCAUUUUCUAAGUUAGUUAUAGAUAUUUUAAUCUAGAGCUAUAAAACGUAACUAAACACAAAUAUAUUUAUUUAUUUUAGUACAAGGGUACAAAUACCCUUUGUACGGGGAACACAAAAAGGAAAUACCGAACAAACAUUGCCUCAUAACAAAAUAUUAAAUAAAUAUAAUACAGUAAAAAAAGGUAAUCUCUGUACAAAGUCCAAAUCCGUACAUGCAAAAACCAAAACAUAAUAUGCAAUAAUCAUAACAUAAAUGCAACAUCCCGUGCAUAAUACAGCUUUCGUACAUAAAAUAUCCGGUACAAGAAACUAUAAUUACAUAAACAUGAUACAAAAUCCCAUACCUGAUAAUUACUACAUAUUAUUCCAAAACAUACACAAUUAACUAGUAAGCAAACUGUGACGACCUGGUGCGAUAACAUUAAAAAUGAACAAAAUUUAAACCAAUAAAACUACAUAUAGAAAUUAAAAAAAAAUAAUUAACUAAAUUUACCUACUUGGAAAAAUACGAAAAUAAGAAAUAUGCAAAACAGGUUAACAAAAGCUCGUCAAUCAACACCAAAUUAACACCCACGAGAGCUGACUCCAAUGCUCUUUUAAUACUGAACGACACUGCCACCCUCUGAAAUACAAUUUAAACAAGAUUUAGAAAACAAAGCAAUAAAAUUAAAAUAUUCAACAUGUUAGCAAAAGAAAAUGCUAUAAUAUUUGAAAAAUCCACCCGAGAUAACCUAAUUUUUCCAAAAUACUGUUUCCGCUCACGCGCAAACUUUACACAUACAAACAAUAUGGAAAGAAUUCUCUAUUGUAAACUCAUUGCAAAAGGAGUAUAUAUGACCCUCAAACCUCUUCAAAUACAAAAUCGAAUCAGAUCUAACAAACAAAAAUAUCUUACUCGUAAUAAAAUUGAAGGAAAAAUUUGAAUUUAAAUAUUUUUCUGUCCUAAAACUUAAUUCCACUAGUUGAUACCAGAGAAAGUUGUCAUUCAGAGUAAUCCUAUUUCUAAACUCCCACAGUAAUGAAUCGGAAACGCGCAACAUAGAAUCCUCACAACAGAAAUCACCAUCCUAAUCAUCAUUAUACCACUGAGAAGAAGAACCAUAAUGGUUAAACAAUUUUUUUACUUUAUCUCCCCAAUCAGAAUUAAUGUUAGAAAAGAAAAGUCCUACAAGUUCGCACCAAAGAUGAUUUACAGUUCGAACUAUCCAGUCACCUCAGUACUCUUUUAAUAAUAAUAAAGUGAAUGGGACGUCUACAAAAUUCUAACGCUAAAAAAUAAUGUGGAACCCACCGUCCUAAGCAGUAAGCAUGACGAAUAAAGUUCCAUUGGAUAGCUUCAUACUUUGUAUUCCAGUUUAAAAAAAAAAAAAAAACAUAUUUCGGUUCCAUACAACACCA
rnacentral:lncRNA from 1 species